rnacentral:rRNA from 1 species
AAGGCCUUCGGGUUGUAAACCUCUUUCAGCAGGGAAGAAGCGCAAGUGACGGUACCUGCAGAAGAAGCGCCGGCUAACUACGUGCCAGCAGCCGCGGUAAUACGUAGGGCGCAAGCGUUGUCCGGAAUUAUUGGGCGUAAAGAGCUCGUAGGCGGUUUGUCGCGUCUGGUGUGAAAACUCAAGGCUCAACCUUGAGCUUGCAUCGGGUACGGGCAGACUAGAGUGCGGUAGGGGUGACUGGAAUUCCUGGUGUAGCGGUGGAAUGCGCAGAUAUCAGGAGGAACACCGAUGGCGAAGGCAGGUCACUGGGCCGCAACUGACGCUGAGGAGCGAAAGCAUGGGGAGCGAACAGGAUUAGAUACCCUGGUAGUCCAUGCCGUAAACGUUGGGCACUAGGUGUGGGGCUCAUUCCACGAGUUCCGUGCCGCAGCAAACGCAUUAAGUGCCCCGCCUGGGGAGUACGGCCGCAAGGCUAAAACUCAAAGGAAUUGACGGGGGCCCGCACAAGCGGCGGAGCAUGCGGAUUAAUUCGAUGCAACGCGAAGAACCUUACCAAGGCUUGACAUACACCGGAAACUUCCAGAGAUGGUUGCCCCGCAAGGUCGGUGUACAGGUGGUGCAUGGUUGUCGUCAGCUCGUGUCGUGAGAUGUUGGGUUAAGUCCCGCAACGAGCGCAACCCUCGUCUUAUGUUGCCAGCACGUCAUGGUGGGGACUCAUAAGAGACUGCCGGGGUCAACUCGGAGGAAGGUGGGGAUGACGUCAAAUCAUCAUGCCCCUUAUGUCUUGGGCUUCACGCAUGCUACAAUGGCCGGUACAAAGGG